UACGAAGGGGACUAGCGUUGUUCGGAAUUACUGGGCGUAAAGCGCACGUAGGCGGAUUUGUAAGUCAGGGGUGAAAUCCCGAGGCUCAACCUCGGAACUGCCUUUGAUACUGCGAAUCUCGAGUCCGGAAGAGGUGAGUGGAAUUCCUAGUGUGGAGGUGAAAUUCGUAGAUAUUAGGAAGAACACCAGUGGCGAAGGCGGCUCACUGGUCCGGUACUGACGCUGAGGUGCGAAAGCGUGGGGAGCAAACAGG
rnacentral:rRNA from 1 species